GGUGGGAAAGCCGGAGGGAGGGUCUGGCUGGCGGCAGCGCGCAAGGCCGCACCGGGUCACGCUUGAUUCCCGCGGAAUGGGGCGCAGGUUGCCAGACCGGGUCCCCAGUGCUAGGGCUCAAGGAAGAAUUUGUUCAUGCAGAAGAUUUAGAAAAAUACUAUGUAAAAGAGUUUGGAGUAAGCCUCCCUUAAUAUAAAUGAGAUUUAUUAUCCUGCCGGAAAAAGCAGAUUAUGUUUCUUAUUACUGAACGCCUGAAGUACCAACGACUCAACCAGAGCCCACAGAAUUCAAUAUCCUGGGUGGUAAAAGGAACAAAUAAAGCAACACGGAA
rnacentral:lncRNA from 1 species